AUGAAGAACGUAGCGAAAUGCGAUAAGUAAUGUGAAUUGCAGAAUUCAGUGAAUCAUCGAAUCUUUGAACGCACAUUGCGCCCGCCAGUAUUCUGGCGAGCAUGCCUGUUCGAGCGUCAUUUCAACCAUCAAGCCCCAGGCUUGUGUUGGAGCCCUGCGGCUGCCGCAGCCUCCCAAAACCAGUGGCGGGCUCGCUAUCACACCGAGUGCAGUAGUUUACUCUUCGCUCAGGGCGUGUGGCGGGUGCUAGCCGUGAAACCCCCAACUUCUCAAGGUUGACCUCGGAUCAGGUAGGAAUACCCGCUGAACUUAAGCAUAUCAAUAAGCGGAGGA
rnacentral:misc_RNA from 1 species